rnacentral:lncRNA from 1 species
GCCUCCAAACCACAUUUCUCUUUCGGUUCCAAUAAGGUGCCUAGGCCCCACUCCAACCCUAGGCAACGCUGGAGUAACCUUGAAUGGAAAUAUUUUUAAGUGUUGGUGAGGGCUCUACUUGGAGCUUCCAUGUCCCAAUUUUCGGAGGUGAUUUAAAAUAUUUUUACAAAAAAAUUAAAGAUAAAAUAUGAUACGAUUCCAAUAUAGAGCUAGCGAGCAUCUACAACAUCCCAAUAAUACAUUACCCAACUAAAAUGAUUAUAUAACGUAAAUGAGUACAGAAUUAACCUUGAAUUACGAAAAAUAAAACUAAAUAUUUCUAAAUCAACUUUGCUCCGUGCCAGUCAUGUCUUUCUUGAGAUAUGCGCUAACUUAUCCUCGAUACCUAGCAUAAAAUACCAUGAGUUGCAACAUCCAGUAGAAAAGCAAGAACCUACGAAACCCUACUCAACUACACCCAAGUAAAAACAACACAUACAUAAACAAAAAAACAGUAUAACACAGCUUGCACAUGCAAAAAACAAUGAUAGAAUGAUUGUAGGCGGCUUUGUUCUUUUCAUUAUCCAUAAUUGUUAAUUACUAGACAUUCUGGAGUUCUCCCCACAGAGUACCACUCAUAUCCCAAACCGCUAAGACUAGCAUUGAGCUAAUUGCGACCCCUUGCUAAAGUAAAAUCUCAAAAUACCAAAGGAUGCCCCACACCCAGGGUUACAUAUCAAAGUGGUGUCAUCCCCAGUCUGCCACAGGGUGUCAGUUUGCCAUGGGGGAUCCACCCUACUAAUCCGAAAAUCAAAUAAUACCAAAUAAAGCCCAAAUUCCCGUCCCUAAUGAAACCGUAUGUUAACGAGUAAAAAGCCAACAUUAUAACAUAAAUAUUCGAGACUUACGGAGCAUAUAUUCAUAUUAACAUUUCAAUAACAUCAAGUGGUCACUAAAUCACAUGAAUGCAAUAAAAUCACAAGGAGAGGGCCUAAGAAGUAAAAUUUCACAAACUAGCACAACUUUAUAAAUAUGUCCAUAAUUUUCAGCUAGAUAUAUCUUCAAUUAAAAAUUGAAAAUUCAUACAUAUACUCGUCACAAAUUUAUGAAAAUACACAGUAAUGUUUAUUAAUGAGUUAAGGUUAUUUUAUCAAUCACCAUCCAUGAAAAUAACUUUUAUACUGGGAGAAAUAUCGAAAAUACCUUUAAGAAGUUCAGAGCUGUCACAGUUGACGAAAAACAUCACAUCUCACUCGUUUCUUAUUCAAAAUACUUCAAAAUAAUUAAUAUGAAAGCUAGCAUAUGUAUAUAAUAUGUAGAAGUAUUUUCACUCAAAAUGGAGUUUUAUAGAAUAAAUGGUGACAAUAUAAAGUGGGGUUCCUGACAGAGAUGUUUGCGACAAGACUCUGGGACAGAUUCAAAAGUGAUGUGAAAACACAAAAAUAAAAUACACAUGGACUAUAAUUCUAAGACAAUUCACACCACUGCAUUGGACAUAUAAAAAACAAUGUUUCAGUUCAAAAUUUGAGAAAAGUGUAAGUUUGAUAUUUAUUUUAAAUGCCACAAAUAUGGGACAAAAACAGUGAGGUUGAAUAGUAAUGUUUGAAUACUGUAUUGUACAUAUCAUACAAGGCAGUAAACCUUACAUACCAACCACAAGCAUGAUGCUAACACAGAUGGAUGUUCAUAGCAACAAUAUUAGUCCAUGUAUAUUAAUAGAGAGCCUAAAAAUAGCACAUACAAGAGAAAUGGAUAGCAACACUGUAGCAUGAAAAUCAACCAUACAAACUCAUAUUAACUUAUUAAGAAGAUUUAAGUUCAUAGAUAUCAAACAUGCAUCCUAUUCUUGAGAGAUUUAAAACAAGUAAGAAAGAGAGCAUAAAGUGAGGUUAAAGUUCAAGUAUUCCCACCGAAAAGCCUAGAAAAUGAGAGUACAAGGAUAAGUGUGGAGGUUGUAGGUGGAGCCUUCUCUUUCUUCUACCUCUUCUUCUUUUUCUUCUCUCUCUUUAAUGGCUGAGAUCUUCCAAGAGUAAAAUAGGUCUUAAGAGCUCCACUUGUCCUUAUAUACACCAGGAGGGUGAUAAAAACAAAAUUGAGGGAUGUAGAGAGAAUUUAGGUGACUGUAGGCUCAAGUAAUGGGUUUAAGAAGAUAUUAGAGGGUUAAUCAAAGUUAGGUCCUCUAACUAAGGUUAUUAAGUGGAUUGUGAUGUCAUUGAUCAAGGCCAAAAAAAUAUAAAAUGAAUAUGCAUACGAAAAAUCUAAAUCAAUAGUCAUUCACUCUUACACAUCCAACUUAGCAAGCAAGCAUGCAAGAUGGGGUGCACAUGGGUGGGUGGCCCAAGUCCAAGUGUAAAUGUGUUAUUCCUAGGGUGGGUGUAAAGAGUAAUUAUAGAUAGUCAAAUUGGGAAUUGUUACAUCAAACAAAU